rnacentral:rRNA from 1 species
UGGGGAAUAUUGCACAAUGGGCGAAAGCCUGAUGCAGCGACGCCGCGUGAGGGAUGACGGCCUUCGGGUUGUAAACCUCUUUCAGUUGGGACGAAGCGCAAGUGACGGUACCUGCAGAAGAAGCACCGGCUAACUACGUGCCAGCAGCCGCGGUAAUACGUAGGGUGCGAGCGUUGUCCGGAAUUACUGGGCGUAAAGAGCUCGUAGGCGGUUUGUCACGUCGUCUGUGAAAUCCUAGGGCUUAACCCUGGACGUGCAGGCGAUACGGGCUGACGUGAGUACUACAGGGGAGACUGGAAUUUCUGGUGUAGCGGUGGAAUGCACAGAUAUCAGGAAGAACACCGAUGGCGAAGGCAGGUCUCUGGGUAGUAACUGACGCUGAGGAGCGAAAGCAUGGGUAGCGAACAGG